GACGAACGCUGGCGGCGUGCUUAACACAUGCAAGUCGAGCGGUAAGGCCCUUUCGGGGGUACGACGAGCGGCGAACGGGUGAGUAACACGUGGGUGACCUGCCCUCAGCUCUGGGAUAAGCCUGGGAAACCGGGUCUAAUACUGGAUAUGACUCCAUGGCGCAUGUUGUGGGGUGGAAAGCCUUGUGCGGCUGAGGAUGGGCCCGCGGCCUAUCAGCUUGUUGGUGGGGUGAGGCCUACCAAGGCGACGACGGGUAGCCGGCCUGAGAGGGCGACCGGCCACACUGGGACUGAGACACGGCCCAGACUCCUACGGGAGGCAGCAGUGGGGAAUCUUGCGCAAUGGGCGAAAGCCUGACGCAGCGACGCCGCGUGAGGGAUGACGGCCUUCGG
rnacentral:rRNA from 1 species